rnacentral:tRNA from 1 species
UAUCUUCUCUAGUGUAAAUCUAGACCUUGUAGUUGGAAGCCACAAAUACUUAAUAUACUAAAAAGAU